UCAUGAUCUAAGGUAACUAGAAACUCAUUUCUAUUAUGAUUUUAUCGAUGUCUAUUAUGUUUAUCGGUCCUUAGAUAGAGUGGAGUGUAAUAAAAAAACUGGUAUACUGAUGGAUGGAUUGAAUGUACAUCAGAGAUGGCUUCAAUGUACAUCACUAAUAUCUUCAAUGUACAUCACUAUGCAAUGUGAGUCACUGAUUUGUUUCUAAACUUAGAUCAUUUUUUGGUUAAUAUCUUAUAUUGCUUAAUCUCUUUUUGUUCCUAUCUCUAACACUAACAAGAGUUGCUGUCUUUUAUUAACCAGAUAAAAAGAGAAAGUGUGGAGGGGCCUGAAUCCACUUAUGUUCAUAUUUACACUUAUCGCUAAUGUUGCCUACAUUGGAAGCUUCUUGGUUGCCAUGGACCUCUUUCACGACAUGCAGCCGGAAGAGCUUUUCUAACAAGUGCUACCGCCACUGCAUAAGAGACUUGAAACUUAGAAAUUACUUUUGCUAUCAAUUAAGAUUGGAAUAUUUUUGGUUGUAGUUUUCUGUUUUUGUUGCUUCCUAAGACUAUUGCUAACCUGUUAAAUUUACCAGUUCCAUAUACCAUAUGCUCUUUGGAUGCUAUGUAAUGGAUCUAGAUGAAGCAUUUUUUUCUGUUAAGAAUUUUUAUAGGCGUAUAGCAACACCAAAUGUCAAACUAGAGUUCGACAACAAUUCUAUAAUUAGCGGAACUGAGUUGUGUCUUGAAUUAAUUGUAUACAACUUGGGGCGAAAAAAAAGGUGACAAAGUUUGAGGCUGAA